GUGGGGAAUAUUGCACAAUGGGCGCAAGCCUGAUGCAGCAACGCCGCGUGAGGGAUGACGGCCUUCGGGUUGUAAACCUCUUUUAGUAGGGAAGAAGCGAAAGUGACGGUACCUGCAGAAAAAGCACCGGCUAACUACGUGCCAGCAGCCGCGGUAAUACGUAGGGUGCAAGCGUUGUCCGGAAGUAUUGGGCGUAAAGAGCUCGUAGGCGGCUUGUCGCGUCUGCUGUGAAAACCCGAGGCUCAACCUCGGGCCUGCAGUGGGUACGGGCAGGCUAGAGUGCGGUAGGGGAGAUUGGAAUUCCUGGUGUAGCGGUGGAAUGCGCAGAUAUCAGGAGGAACACCGAUGGCGAAGGCAGAUCUCUGGGCCGUAACUGACGCUGAGGAGCGAAAGCAUGGGGAGCGAACAGGAUUAGAAACCCCGGUAGUCC
rnacentral:rRNA from 1 species